rnacentral:misc_RNA from 1 species
GAUGAAGAACGCAGCAAAAUGCGAUAAGUAAUGUGAAUUGCAGAAUUCAGUGAAUCAUCGAAUCUUUGAACGCACAUUGCGCCCGCCAGUAUUCUGGCGGGCAUGCCUGUUCGAGCGUCAUUUCAACCCUCAAGCUCAGCUUGGUGUUGGGACUCGCGGUAACCCGCGUUCCCCAAAUCGAUUGGCGGUCACGUCGAGCUUCCAUAGCGUAGUAAUCAUACACCUCGUUACUGGUAAUCGUCGCGGCCACGCCGUAAAACCCCAACUUCUGAAUGUUAACCUCGGAUCAGGUAGGAAUACCCGCUGAACUUAAGCAUAUCAAUAAGCGGAGGA